rnacentral:lncRNA from 1 species
UGGACUUCUCCUAACGCAGGAUGUGCUUUGUGCAUUAGAGCCUGUGGCAUUUGGGGAAGCGCGUGUGGGGCGAGGACAGAGCUGGGAGAACGUGCAAGGCUGUGCAGCUGAGGGAUCUGACUCAGAGACAACUGCAGAAACCCGAGCGUGGAGGCGUGACAUGGGAGUCUGAGUGGCCACCUGUUGUGCAGAUCACACCAGCCGCUCCCGCGGUGGGACCAGGCGCUGGGUCAGGGUCAGCGACGGGAUGUGCAACAGAUAAUGCUUUGCAGCUCAUACGACACCCAAUCAGCAUGACCCCCAGGGGUCCUGGAGCCAGCUUGGGCUGGAGAGUGCCCCGGUGCCCAUCUCCUCCCACCUCCGCUCCCAGUGAUGGUAAAUCGGCUGCAUCUACUCCACGGAAAUUAACAAAUGCUACAGAUCAGUCCUGAGCCCUCUGAGGGCGGGUUGUUGCCCACGUGCCAGCACACCACUGAUUCACUAAAAAGUUAGGCCCUUCUCGCCCGCCCCGCCGGCUCUCUCUGCUGGGAGGCGUGCUCCUGCAUUUCCCAGCUGGGAGCUGUCCUAGGAGAGUGGUCCAGAGAACCAGAGGCCGGCUGCACAGAAGACGCAUUCGCCUUGAGUGAUGAUUCACCUGCAGGUGCUUCAGAGCGUGGAGCCAAAAGAUAGAUUCACCCUUGGAGGGCAACGUUUGCUUGCAAUGUCUAGCUUUAUGGAGGAUAGAAACUGUGAAUUUUAAAAGCCAAGGACAGCACGUGGAAAAUCUGUGAAGCCCUUUCAUUCUCUUAUCUCCGAGGAGCUGGUGAGGAGAUGUUGAUAAACGGUGGAUUCAGACACAUGCAGCUCCUGGGCCAAUGGGAUCAUCCAGGCAGGCUUGGGGGCACCCUCUCUACUGGCAGCAAAUCAUUUCUGGGCUCAGCUGUUGCCAUCUUUGCUGCAGAACACAGCGGAGCCUGCGGUGAACAGAUUAGCUGAACUCCAAAGAUUGCACAUGCAUUUUCAUGGGCAUGGUUUUUCAAAAUACCCUUUUCACUGAAGAAUAACAUACAAACAGAGAAGUUCACAAAUCAUGAAUGUACAGCUUGAUGCAUUUACAAAAGGGGACACGCCCAUGAAACCACCAUCCAGAUGAAGACACAGAACAUUAACGGGGCCCCCCGAGCUCCCUGGUUCCCCUCCCCUCACUGAUGUCCUCAAAGGGAACCACUAUUCUGAGUCCCGUUACCAUCAAUGAGUUCCGUCUGGGUUUGAACUUUACAUAAACGAAAUCAUACAGUGCAUCCUCCUUUGUGUCUG